CUUACGGCCAGGGCUACACACGUGCUACAAUGGCAUAUACAAAGAGAAGCGACCUCGCGAGAGCAAGCGGACCUCAUAAAGUAUGUCGUAGUCCGGAUUGGAGUCUGCAACUCGACUCCAUGAAGUCGGAAUCGCUAGUAAUCGUAGAUCAGAAUGCUACGGUGAAUACGUUCCCGGGCCUUGUACACACCGCCCGUCACACCAUGGGAGUGGGUUGCAAAAGAAGUAGGUAGCUUAACCUUCGGGAGGGCGCUUACCACUUUGUGAUUCAUGACUGGGGUGAAGUCGUAACAAGGUAGCCGUAGGGGAACCUGCGGCUGGAUCACCUCCUUACCUU
rnacentral:rRNA from 1 species